GUGACAGUCUUAUGACAGGGGUUUCACUAACACUUAAGGGGUCUAUAUUGGAUGACGCAACCACCAAAACAAACACAGGAAGCAGGAUGGAUAACGACACUGCAUCUUAUGAGUUGAGCAAGAAAAAGGAUGUUGGCAUGCCAGUGAACCUGGACAAAAUUGAGUCCGGAGUCCGCUAUUUGAGAAGGAACUCAACUGGAAGCUCAGGUAUUGAAAUGGGUAAAUCCAAGGUCUUGUCAUGUUCUACGAGUGUUCCAACAGGUUCUCGCCAAGAAGUUUGCAAAUACACAGUUGCAAGUGAUCUUAAAAAGAAGGCGAGGACUCUCCAGCGCACAAGACCUGUAGCUGCAUCAGGAGAAAUCCCAGAAAUGGCUAGAACUGUGAAGUUGCAGAUGGGGAAGAAACCAUUAAGCUCAAGCCAGCUACCAAAUUUCAAGAGCCCGACAACCUUUCAAACCCAGGGAAAGAAAAUCCCAGCAUCCACCAAAAUAGCUGUCGAAAAAGGAUCCUCCGGGUUGAGCAAGAAGAAGGAUGCCAUAACUAUUUCCCACUCUACAAGAAUUUCCUUGAAGA
rnacentral:misc_RNA from 1 species